rnacentral:rRNA from 1 species
CAAGCGGUGGAUGAUGUGGAUUAAUUCGAUGCAACGCGAAGAACCUUACCAGGUCUUGACAUCCCGAUGCUAUUCUAGAGAUAGAAAGUUACUUCGGUACAUCGGUGACAGGUGGUGCAUGGUUGUCGUCAGCUCGUGUCGUGAGAUGUUGGGUUAAGUCCCGCAACGAGCGCAACCCCUAUUGUUAGUUGCCAUCAUUCAGUUGGGCACUCUAGCGAGACUGCCGGUAAUAAACCGGAGGAAGGUGGGGAUGACGUCAAAUCAUCAUGCCCCUUAUGACCUGGGCUACACACGUGCUACAAUGGUUGGUACAACGAGUUGCGAGUCGGUGACGGCGAGCUAAUCUCUUAAAGCCAAUCUCAGUUCGGAUUGUAGGCUGCAACUCGCCUACAUGAAGUCGGAAUCGCUAGUAAUCGCGGAUCAGCACGCCGCGGUGAAUACGUUCCCGGGCCUU